rnacentral:rRNA from 1 species
UACGUAGGGGGCAAGCGUUGUCCGGAAUCAUUGGGCGUAAAGAGCGUGUAGGCGGUCCGAUAAGUCCGCUCUGAAAGCCCGGGGCUCAACCCCGGGAGGCGGGCGGAUACUGUCGGGCUAGAGUCCGGAAGAGGCAAGUGGAAUUCCUGGUGUAGCGGUGAAAUGCGCAGAUAUCAGGAGGAACACCGAUGGCGAAGGCAGCUUGCUGGGACGGUACUGACGCUGAAGCACGAAAGCUAGGGGAGCAAACGGG